AACUGGAGAUGGCGACCGGCGCACGGGUGAGUAACACGUAUCCAACCUGCCGAUAACUCGGGGAUAGCCUUUCGAAAGAAAGAUUAAUACCCGAUGGUAUAAUAAAACCGCAUGGUUUAAUUAUUAAAGAAUUUCGGUUAUCGAUGGGGAUGCGUUCCAUUAGGCAGUUGGUGAGGUAACGGCUCACCAAACCUUCGAUGGAUAGGGGUUCUGAGAGGAAGGUCCCCCACAUUGGAACUGAGACACGGUCCAA
rnacentral:rRNA from 1 species